UACGGGGGAGCAGGCGUUGUUCGGAAUCACUGGGCGUAAAGGGAGUCUAGGCGGUUUGGUAAGUGGGAUGUGAAAUCCCCGGGCUCACCCCGGGACCUGCAUCCCAAACUGCUGAGCUUGAGUACAGGAGAGGGUGGGGGAAUUCCAGGUGUAGCGGUGAAAUGCGUAGAUAUCUGGAGGAACACCGGUGGCGAAGGCGGCAUCCUGGACCAGCAUGACG
rnacentral:rRNA from 1 species